rnacentral:rRNA from 1 species
GACGAACGCUGGCGGCGUGCCUAAUACAUGCAAGUCGAACGCAGUGGGGACGGGUGAGUAACACGUGGGUAACCUCCCCAUCAGAGGGCAUAACACUUGGAAACAGGUGCUAACCCGAUAUUGGUGGAUGGCCCCGCGGUGCAUUAGCUAGUUGGUGGGGUAACGGCUCACCAAGGCUACGAUGCAUAGCCGGUCUGAGAGGGUGAUCGGCCACACUGGGACUGAGACACGGCCCAGACUCCUACGGGAGGCAGCAGUGGGGAAUCUUGGGCAAUGGACGAAAGUCUGAUCGAGCAACGCCGCGUGAGUGAAGAAGGUUUUCGGAUCGUAAAGCUCUUUUGUUAGAGAAGCGGUAUCUAACCAGAAAGCCACGGCUAACUACGUGCCAGCAGCCGCGGUAAUAC